rnacentral:rRNA from 2 species
CUCAGGACGAACGCUGGCGGCGUGCCUAAUACAUGCAAGUCGAGCGAAUCGAUGGGAGCUUGCUCCCUGAGAUUAGCGGCGGACGGGUGAGUAACACGUGGGCAACCUGCCUAUAAGACUGGGAUAACUUCGGGAAACCGGAGCUAAUACCGGAUACGUUCUUUUCUCGCAUGAGAGAAGAUGGAAAGACGGUUUACGCUGUCACUUAUAGAUGGGCCCGCGGCGCAUUAGCUAGUUGGUGAGGUAAUGGCUCACCAAGGCGACGAUGCGUAGCCGACCUGAGAGGGUGAUCGGCCACACUGGGACUGAGACACGGCCCAGACUCCUACGGGAGGCAGCAGUAGGGAAUCUUCCGCAAUGGACGAAAGUCUGACGGAGCAACGCCGCGUGAACGAAGAAGGCCUUCGGGUCGUAAAGUUCUGUUGUUAGGGAAGAACAAGUACCAGAGUAACUGCUGGUACCUUGACGGUACCUAACCAGAAAGCCACGGCUAACUACGUGCCA